GAUGAACGCUAGCGGGAGGCCUAACACAUGCAAGCCGAGCGGUAGAGUUUCUUCGGAGACUUGAGAGCGGCGCACGGGUGCGUAACACGUGUGCAACCUACCUUUAUCUGGGGGAUAGCCUUUUGAAAGGAAGAUUAAUACCCCCUAAUAUAAUGAUUGUCAUCAAUUAUUAUUGAAAACUCCGGUGGAUAGAGAUGGGCACGCGCAAGAUUACAUAGUUGGUGAGGUAACGGCUCACCAAGUCAAUGAUCUGUAGGGGUCCUGAGAGGGAGAUCCACCACACUGGUACCGAGACACUGACCAAACUCCUACGGGAGGAAGCAGUGCGGAAUAUAGGACAAUGGGUGAGAGCCUGAUCCAGCCAUCCCGCAUGAAGGAUGACGGUCCUAUGGAUUGUGAACUUCUUUUGUAGAGGGAUAAACCUACCCUCGUGAGGGUAGCUGAAGGUACUGUACGAAUAAGCACCGGCUAACUCCGUG
rnacentral:rRNA from 1 species